rnacentral:misc_RNA from 1 species
GAUCCAAGGCCACCUUCUCAAGGUGAUAAUUGUGUUGAUAGUUUUGAAUCAAUGAGAGAAAAAUAUCGAAGUUCCAUUAUAGAUUAUAUCUUCUGUUUGCGAAUUACGAUUUGUCUAUGCACGUGAUAAGUAUCGAAUCAUGGAUCUGGGCCACGAAUUGGGGGGUGGGCCAGCAGAAGGAAAGUGUAGGCAGUCAGCAAUUAGAACCAUCAGAUUUGGGGGUACAGGGCACUGGGUUUUGUUGAUGGAACCCAUUCUGGAAUUGGCCAUGAUCUUAAUGCGCUAUGUUAUUCACAAAUCACAUCAGCCCCUUUUAUGCAGCUGCAUGCCGUCCACAAUCACAUUUCACACUCACAGAUCAUCCUGUAGAGAGAAGAGAUAGCGCCGCGUUUUUUAUUCAUGAAAAUGGCAUAUGAUCU